GCUCGUUUGGUCCAACGGAAAGGCACCUGGCUGCAGACCAGGGAACACGGGUUCGACUCCCGUAGCGAGCU
rnacentral:tRNA from 1 species